rnacentral:tRNA from 1 species
GGCAGGGUAGCUCAGCUGGUUAGAGCGGCGGAUUCAUAACCCGCAGGUCGGGAGUUCAAGUCUCCCCCUCGCCA